rnacentral:lncRNA from 1 species
UACACCGGUGCGCAUUCUCCGUGAUACGGGAGCCUCCCUCUCGUUCAUCUUGCAAGGGGUUCUACCUCUCUCUGGUGAGUCAAAGAUUGGCACCAGCGUUCUAGUGCGCGGUUUCGAGAUGGGCUCGACCAUUGUGCCACUCCACCAGAUAGAGCUGAAAUCUAACGUGCUUACCGGCAGUGUAGCUGUCGGUGUUCGGAGAUCUCUGCCAGUUCCGGGAGUCACGUUCAUUUUAGGUAACGAUAUCGGUGGUGGUAACGUUUGGAGUAGGGGCAAUUCGGAGGUGUUUCCACAGGUUGCUGAACCUAUGGAACCUAUGAUCCACGAAUGUGCGCAGAAAUAUCCCGAUGUGUUCCCCGCCUGCGCGGUGACUCGGGCUAUGGCGAGGGGAAACUCCUCGAAGCGUAGGGGUGCUGACUCUGAUUCGGUUGGUGAGUUGUCUGAUUCUUUCUUUGUCACUCUUGACGAGUCGGUAGUUCCGAAGUCAUUCCCUAGUGUUCCUCCUACUAGGUCUGACAGGGAAGCAAGUAAAGCUGGCAAAGAAUCUGGCCGAUUCACUCGGGAAAACCUAGUUGCUGCUCAGAAGGCUGACAUGUCACUCACCUGUCUCUUCCAAGCUGCCUCUUGCGAUGUCGAUCUUAAUCAGGAGCCGCAGUGCUUCUUCGUGAGAGAUGGCAUUUUAAUGAGAAAAUGGAGACCUAAUAGUGUUCCUGACCAGGGGAAUUCGGUCCAUCAGAUUGUGGUACCAUCUGUGUAUAGGGAAGAGAUUCUAAGAGUAGCUCACGAUGGCCUGGCUGGUCAUUUGGGUAUUGCGAAGACACUUAACCGUAUUAAUCAGCAUUUCUUUUGGCCGGGGGCUAAGCGGGACGUUGUCUGCUUCUGUAAGAGCUGUUGUGUUUGUCAGCUCGCUGGCAAGCCUAAUCAGACAAUUCCACCUGCUCCCCUGUACCCUAUCCCAGUGAUGGGCCAGCCAUUUGACCAUGUAAUUAUUGAUAUCGUGGGCCCACUUGUGCGCUCCACGAGUGGAUAUAGGUAUUUGUUAACUAUAAUGUGUGCUGCUACUCGUUUCCCAGAGGCUAUCCCGCUGCGGAAGAUCACCACCAAGGUGGUGUUGAGAGAACUCCUCGGAUUCUUUUCUAUGUUCGGCCUGCCAAAGAUUGUCCAGACUGACCGUGGCUCGAACUUUAUGUCCCGCGUGUUCGCUCGCGCGCUGAAACAGCUGCGCAUACAGCAUAAUGUUUCCAGUGCCUAUCAUCCUGAGAGCCAGGGGGCACUGGAACGUUAUCACCAAACGCUAAAGGGCAUGUUGCGCACGUAUUGCUUGG